UACGAAGGGGGCUAGCGUUGCUCGGAAUCACUGGGCGUAAAGCGCACGUAGGCGGAUUCUUAGGUCGGUGGUGAAAUCCUGGAGCUCAACUCCAGAACUGCCUUCGAUACUGAGAGUCUUGAGUUCGGGAGAGGUGAGUGGAACUGCGAGUGUAGAGGUGAAAUUCGUAGAUAUUCGCAAGAACACCAGUGGCGAAGGCGGCUCACUGGCCCGAUACUGACGCUGAGGUGCGAAAGCCAGGGGAGCGAACGGG
rnacentral:rRNA from 1 species